UACGGGGGGGGGCAAGCGUUGUUCGGAAUUACUGGGCGUAAAGGGCUCGUAGGCGGCCCUCUCAGUCGGAUGUGAAAUCCCCAGGCUUAACCUGGGAACGGCAUCCGAUACUGGAGGGCUUGAAUUCGGGAGAGGGAUGCGGAAUUCCAGGUGUAGCGGUGAAAUGCGUAGAUAUCUGGAGGAACACCGGUGGCGAAGGCGGCAUCCUGGACCAAUAUUGACGCUGAGGAGCGAAAGCCAGGGGAGCAAACGGG
rnacentral:rRNA from 1 species